rnacentral:rRNA from 1 species
CAUGGAGGGUGAGAAUCCCGUCUGUGACCGGUCGUGCGUUCAUCUACGAUACGCUUUCAAAGAGUCGAGUUGUUUGGGAUUGCAGCUCCAAAUGGGUGGUAAACAUCACCUAAGGCUAAAUAUUGGCGAGAGACCGAUAGCGAACAAGUACCGUGAGGGAAAGGUGAAAAGAACUUUGAAAAGAGAGUUAAAUUGUACGUGAAAUUGUUGAAAGGGAAACGAUUGAAGUCAGUCGUGCUGGCGCGUAAUCAGCCUACGAUUUGUCAAACGAGUAGUGUGGUGAGCCUCAAAACCGCCAUAUUAUUUGUCUGGCUAAUCGUCGGUGCACAUUCGUGUCGGCUGGUUAACAUCAAUUUCAAAUGUCAUAAAAAGGCUGGAGGGAUGUGGUUCCUUCGGGAGUGUUAUAACCUUUAGCGGAAUGUGGUGUUUGAGAUUGAGGAUUGCAACGAAUACCUUUAGGGCUGUUCCACCUGGUCUCUCUUUGGCAUCUUGGCGGCGACAGCUUGCUGACGUUGUUAAGAGUUGACAUUGAACAGGCUAGAGUGUGGGCAAAUUCGUUAAGGAUGUUGACGUAAUGG